UACGUAGGGGGCAAGCGUUGUCCGGAUUUAUUGGGCGUAAAGAGCGUGUAGGCGGCCAUACAGGUCAGCUGUGAAAACUCGAGGCUCAACCUCGAGACGUCGGUUGAAACCGUUUGGCUAGAGUCCGGAAGAGGAGAGUGGAAUUCCCGGUGUAGCGGUGAAAUGCGCAGAUAUCGGGAGGAACACCAGUGGCGAAGGCGACUACCUGGCCUGUUCUUGACGCUGAGGCGCGAAAGCUAGGGGAGCAAACGGG
rnacentral:rRNA from 1 species